UGUCAUACCUGCUGUCAAAAUAGUUUGACUAUUGCCUCUUACUUAUCUUUCUGUUUUUUCAGGUUGGCUGCAUCACCAAGCUGUAAGUCAAGAUGUCUUAUCCAGCCUUGACUUUGGCAUUACUAAACCUUGGAUCUGGAGCCCCAGAUUACAUAUGGGAGAAAAUGAGAAGCCUCACUGAAACUUUGAACUGUUUCUCCUGCUCACAUAUGGCAUCCAACUUCACAAAGGAAUUCUUAGUGGAGGGAUAAGAAUAAAAAGGCCAUCUGAGUGUUGUUAAUCCCA
ensembl:lncRNA